GUCCCAGACUCCUACGGGAGGCAGCAGUGGGGGAUAUUGCCCAAUGGGGGACCCCCUGAUGCAGCUCCGCCGCGUGGGCGAAGACGUAUUUCGGUCUUUCAAGCCCUCUCCUCCGGGAAGAGGCCCUGACGGUACCUUCUUCAGAAGCACCUUCUCAAUACGUUCCCUCCGCCGCGGUCCUCCUUAUGGUGCCCUCGUUAUCCGGCUUUCCUGGGUGUAAAGGGAGCGCAGGCGGCACGGCAAGCCUGAUGGGAAAGCCCGCGGCCAAACCGCGGGACUGCAUUGGGAACUACCGGGCUGGAGUGCCGGAGAGGGAGGCGGAAUUCCUAGUGUAGCGGGGAAAUGCGUAGAUAGGAGGAGGAACACCAGUGGCGAAGGCGGCCUACUGGACGGUGACUGACGCUGAGGCUCGAAAGCGUGGGGAGCAAACAGGAUUAGAUACCCCUGUAAC
rnacentral:rRNA from 1 species